rnacentral:tRNA from 1 species
GGUCCGUUAGCUCAGCUGGAUAGAGCGCUGCCCUCCGAAGGCAGAGGCCAGAGGUUCGAA